AACAUUUAAAAGUGUGUGUGUUGAAAUGCGGUCGACCAUUAUUAUAUGAUGAGGCCCAAUGAAUGGCACAUUAGUUUGUAUCAUAGGCACAAGAAAGUAAAAUCGAACCAAAAAAAAAAAAAAGGGAAAGUUAAGAAUCCAUUUUCCUAUAUAAACGUUCACUCUUAACUCGUUAGUCUCAUCCCUGAAACUCUAGUUCUCUUUCUCUUUCUCUUAUGCUUUGCUCCUCCUACAAUUUAAUCUAUCAUAUACGUAUUUACGGAAGAAACAGGCAGCCAUGAAGAAAGUUCUUCUGUUUCUAAGUGCUCUUGUCUUCUUUGCCCUAGCCCCAGAAGCAACGAACGGUGCGUUGCAUGGAAAGACGCAAGCAUUAAUCAACCGAGCUAACAAAUUUGGACCUUAUUUAGGAUUGGUAAUUCCAAAUCUAUUCGAAAUGAAUCCACUACUCCAACAUCCAAGUUUCGUUCCUAGUGAGCUCGUUAUAGAUUUUGCAGGUAAGAGAUUUCGAUUUGGAACAAUUGAGAAAAAGCCAGUUAUAUUGGUGAUGACGGGACUCGGAAUGCUAAAUGCAGGUGUAACUACGCAGCUUUUGCUGAGCUUGUUCGAAAUAGAGGGUGUUGUGCAUUAUGGAAUUGCUGGGAAUGCAAACCCUUCUCUUCAUAUUGGAGAUGUAACUAUUCCUCAGUAUUGGUCUCACUCUGCUCUGUGGAAUUGGCAGAGAUAUGGAGACGGGCCUAGCAACGAACUCCCACUUGAAGAGAAUGGAGACUACACAAGGGAUAUUGGGUACAUAAGAUUUGCAGAUUAUACAACCAGUAAUGUAACAAGCUGCAGCAGCCCGUUUGAUAAUCUUCUAAAUAACGUUUGGUACCAGCCUGAGGAAGUUUUUCCAAUAGAUGGAGAUCCUGAAGAAAGACAACAUGCAUUUUGGGUCCCCGUCGAUUCCCAUUACUUCAAGAUCUCAAGAUUGCUUGAGGGCUUGGAAUUAGAAGGUUGUGUGAAUUCAACAACAUGUUUGGACACAACCCCAAAGGUGACAAGGGUUGAAAGAGAGAACAAGUGCCAGCAUUUACUUAGACAAUGCAGCUUAUAGGAGCUUCAUAUACAACAAGUUUAAUGUGAGCCCUGUGGAGAUGGAAAGUGCCUGCAGUGGCUCUCGUUUGCCAUCAGCAAAGGGUUCCUUUCAUUGUCAUUAGGGCACUUUCCGACUUGGCCGGCGGUGGCACCGCUGAAUCCAAUGAGGCUGCUACUUUCACUGCUCUUGCAGCUGAUAAUUCUGUCAAAGUUGUGGUGGAAUUCAUCAAGAUUUUACUGUCUUUUCCAUGGCUCCUUCGAGAAGUCAGAAGCUGAAAGAUCAUCAGGUAUGACAAAUGCUUGAAUAAGUUCAUGUGAGCAAAGGAGAAUGAUUGUUCCGCAGAACAUGCAGGCUGGCUUAAUCUUAUCCCUUUUCUUCUGUCUCUUUCUACGAGUGGAAUAAAUUGUAGUUUGGAUCAUCAAAACGUCAUGUUUUUGUACUGAUCCAAUUCGAGUAUAUUAUAUAUCAGAUCUUUGUUGUUCUUUUUCUGCAUUUUUCUCCAAAAUCCACCUUGAGAUGGUGAAGGGUUCUGGUAGACUCACGCCAGUUUUUAGGAAACAAAUUAUGUAUUGUGGGCAUAAAAUUUUUAUCUCCAAGAUUUUGUCAA